UCACAACACAACUGUCUCUUCUCGUGUUCCCACCACCCCCAUAUAUAUAUAAACCUUUCUUUUUCUUUUCUUUUCUCUCUCUCUCUCCCAAAGAAAAAGAAAAAAAAAAAAAAUCUUUUUCUGUGUAAUUAAAGGGGGUAACUAGUUUUUCUUCUUUCUAGAACUAGCUUUAGAUUCGAUCAAGUCACAAACUUUUCUUCGAUUUGAAUGGAGGGUACUCAUCAUCUUCGUCAUCUGCAUCAACAACAACAACAAAAACAAAGGGUUCUUCCUCAGAGUAUGAGUAGUGUCAACGUGGAUGUGACUGAUAGGUUUCCCCAAUGGAGCAUCCAAGAAACAAAAGAGUUUCUUGUGAUCCGUGCAGAGCUGGAUCAGACUUUCAUGGAGACUAAGAGGAACAAACAGUUGUGGGAAGUGAUAUCCAACCGAAUGAAGGAAAAGGGUUACCAUAGAAGUGCAGAGCAGUGCAAGUGCAAGUGGAAAAACCUUGUUACUCGCUAUAAGGGAUUUGAAACAAUGGAGCAAGAAGCGACGAGACAGCAAUUCCCAUUUUACAAUGAAUUCAAUGCAAUUUUCACGGCAAGGAUGCAGAGAAUGUUGUGGGCUGAAGCUGGGGGUGGAUCGAAGAAGAACAAGGCGAUGACGAUGCAGCUCUCAUCGGACGAAGAAGAUGGCAAAGAAGAGAGUACUGAAGCCGGUAGCGACAGAAAGAAGAAAAAGGCAAAGAUAGUUAGUGGGGGUGGUGGUAGUUUGAACAAUUUGAAGGAGAUUUUGGAGGAUUUCAUGAGGCAACAGAUGCAAAUAGAAGCACAAUGGAUGGUGGCGUUCGAGGCGAGGGAGAAUGAGAGGAGGUUGAAGGAGAUGGAGUGGAGGCAAGCCAUGGAGGUGUUGGAGAAUGAGAGGAUAAUGAUGGAAGAAAGAUGGAGAGAAAGGGAGGAACAAAGGAGGAUUAGGGAAGAAGCUAGGGCUGAGAAGAGGGAUGCACUAAUCACAGCUUUGCUAAACAAGCUAGAGAGACAAGGAAUGUAGUGGAGAGGACUUUGUUCUAUCACACAAAACUCACUUCGAUGAUCUGUUCCGACUUAAGAAGAAACUAGUGUUUGAUUGUUGACAAGAAAAUACAAAUAGUGGGCUCCAAGAAAAAGGCAAGAGAUGUAGUUUAGUAGUUAGCUAGCUAGCCAAGUGGCCAACUAUAAUGUGUUUCCUCUUCUUCUCAUGAAAGGAAGCUUGAUUAUAGAGCUAGCUGAUAUGGGUUUGCAUGCACACGAGAGGUCUUCAAGGAUUAUAGUUACAUUGACCUGUGCACGUGAGAACGCUAGACGUAAUUGAAGCCGGAGAAACGUUAUCAGCAGCUUAGGUAUGAACUUAUGACUUUUAAUAAGUAAAUUUCAGCUGCAUGAUAUCGUGUUUCAUAAUCAUCCAUUUUAUAUACACGCAUGCUAAAUUGUCUUUUGUUUUUCUUUCGUUGAGAAAAUAGUUAAGGUAAAGGAAGAAAUGGAGAUGAUAGAUAACUGAGCUAAUGCUUAUGAGGAGAAAAAGAGAGUGGAAUAUCAAUUAAUGCUGAUCCAAUAUAUAUAAAUGAAUGAAUGAAUAAUUAAGAGCCCGUAAGUAAAAUAAAAUUCAAUGUGAAAUAACACAUACCCACAUACACAUAAUUGAGGUAAUUAAUGCUUAGAUAAUGUUGCCUUGUGUG